rnacentral:rRNA from 1 species
AGACGAACGCUGGCGGCAGGCUUAACACAUGCAAGUCGAGCGCCCCGCAAGGGGAGCGGCAGACGGGUGAGUAACGCGUGGGAAUCUACCCUUUUCUACGGAAUAACGCAGGGAARCUUGUGCUAAURCCGUAUGUGUCCUUCGGGAGAAAGAUUUAUCGGGAAAGGAUGAGCCCGCGUUGGAUUAGCUAGUUGGUGGGGUAAAGGCCURCCAAGGCGACGAUCCAUAGCUGGUCUGAGAGGAUGAUCAGCCACAUUGGGACUGAGACACGGCCCAAACUCCUACGGGAGGCAGCAGUGGGGAAUAUUGGACAAUGGGCGCAAGCCUGAUCCAGCCAUGGGGCGUGAGUGAUGAAGGCCCUAAGGUUGUAAAGCUCUUUCACCGGAGAAGAUA